CAAGUCGUAACAAGGUUUCCGUAGGUGAACUUGCGGAAGGAUCAUUAACGAAUUCAUCGAGGUUGUGCUGGUUCUCACAAGUGCACGCCUCUUCAAUUCAUUUCACACCCAAUCGUGCACCUUUAGAGAUUCGGAAUCCGGUUCCCCCCGUUUACGUGCCCCUUCUCGGGGGGGCUAUGGGGUUUCGGGACGUCCGGUCUAUUUCAUCGUAACAACGCCGGUAUUCAGAAUGUCAUCUGCGGAAACGCAUAAUAUAAAUAAUAUAACUUUCAACAACGGAUCUCUUGGUUCUCGCAUCGAUGAAGAACGCAGCGAAAUGCGAUAAGUAAUGUGAAUUGCAGAAUUCAGUGAAUCAUCGAAUCUUUGAACGCACCUUGCGCUCCUUGGUAUUCCGAGGAGCAUGCCUGUUCGAGCGUCAUGAAACUCUCAAACCGCAUCUUUUAUCGAUGUCGGGCUUGGACUUGGACGUUGCUGGGCCCCCCCGUGUGGGGUUCGGCUCGUCUCAAAUGCAUUAGCUGACUCUCCCGACUUCAGUUUUCGGCGUGAUAAUCACAAUCUACGUCGAUGCCGCAAGGCGCUGGACCGGGGAUCAAACGGCUUCUAACCGUCCGCGAGGACAAUCGUUUUCAUCUUUUUUGGCCUCGAAUCAGGUAGGACUACCCGCUGAACUUAA
rnacentral:sRNA from 1 species